rnacentral:rRNA from 1 species
AACGAACGCUGGCGGCAUGCCUAACACAUGCAAGUCGAACUAUGCUUUCGGGCAUAGUGGCGCACGGGUGCGUAACGCGUGGGAAUCUGCCCUUGGGUUCGGAAUAACAGUUGGAAACGACUGCUAAUACCGGAUGAAGACGAAAGUCCAAAGAUUUAUCGCCUGAGGAUGAGCCCGCGUAAGAUUAGGUAGUUGGUGGGGUAAAGGCCUACCAAGCCGACGAUCUUUAGCUGGUCUGAGAGGAUGAUCAGCCACACUGGGACUGAGACACGGCCCAGACUCCUACGGGAGGCAGCAGUGGGGAAUAUUGGACAAUGGGCGAAAGCCUGAUCCAGCAAUGCCGCGUGAGUGAUGAAGGCCUUAGGGUUGUAAAGCUCUUUUACCCGGGAUGAUAAUGACAGUACCGGGAGAAUAAGCCCCGGCUAACUCCGUGCCAGCCGCCGCGGUAA